rnacentral:rRNA from 1 species
GACGAACGCUGGCGGCGUGCCUAACACAUGCAAGUCGAGCGGAGGCAUGCGAGGAGUAAUCUGAGCAUGUCUGAGCGGCGGACGGGUGAGUAACGCGUGAGCAACCUGCCUUCUGGAGGGGGAUAACGCAGCGAAAGCUGCACUAAUACCGCAUGAGACCACAGUAUCGCAUGGUACAGGGGUCAAAGGAGGAAUCCGGCAGAAGAGGGGCUCGCGUCCGAUUAGGUAGUUGGUGAGGUAAAGGCCCACCAAGCCGGAGAUCGGUAGCCGACCUGAGAGGGUGAUCGGCCACACUGGAACUGAGAGACGGUCCAGACUCCUACGGGAGGCAGCAGUGGGGAAUAUUGGGCAAUGGGGGAACCCUGACCCAGCAACGCCGCGUGAGGGAAGAAGGUUUUCGGAUUGUAAACCUCUGUUCUUGGAGAAGAGGAGAAGACGGUAUCCAAGGAGGAAGCCCCGGCUAACUACGUG